CAAUCUGUUCCGGUCCAGCCGGCGGGGACUUACGUCAUCCAGAUCCCCAAGGACCAGAUCUACCGCUAUCCGCCGCCGGAGAAUGCCCGCCGCUACCAAAAAUACUCCCGCCGGGAGCCUCGCCGGAGAUGCUGCCGCCGCUGCCUCUGCUGGUCCCUCGGCCUUCUCGCCUCCCUCCUUCUCCUCCUCGCCGUCUCCGCCGGCGUCCUCUACCUCGUCUUCCGCCACGAGGCUCCUAAAUACUCCAUCGACGACGUCUCCAUCCCCGGCUUCAUCCUGACAUCACUCUCCGCCGUCUCGCCGGAGUUUUAACGUCACNNNNNNNNNNNNNNNNNNNNNNNNNNNNNNNNNNNNNNNNNNNNNNNNNNNNNNNNNNNNNNNNNNNNNNNNNNNNNNNNNNNNNNNNNNNNNNNNNNNNUCGAAAUAUCCAUAUUGAAGAAGCGGAGAACAAACAAACGAAGCUUAAAUCCUUCAUUAGAAUUCUAGUUGUAUAAGAUCCUAUUAAAACACUAGUAUGUUCUUUCCUGCUCUAUCUUUUCUUUUUAUUGCUCAAUCUACCCUAUAGAAUCCAAUCGUGGAUGUUUGUAAAAUUACCCUCAAAUCCAUUAGAAAGUCGCCAAAAUGUCAGUAGGAAUCAGAUGAUUUCAACGCCAAAUGGUAUAUAUUACUCAUACAAUCAAUUGAUAGAAGAUAAAAGCACAGACAGAAAAUAAAAUGAAAUUGGAUUUAUGCAAUAAACAAGGCAGAACUCACCAGCAUAAAUGCGAAUAUCAUCCAUUCGCUUCAAUCCCAGCAAGCUGAGCAAAUCCUAGCUCCAAUAUGCGCUGGAAUGUUCAUAGAGCCCAAUCCAACUAAAAACAAUUCCCAAACAACAAGCUAACAAAAUGAAUAAGUAGAGAGAGUGAAACAGUAAAGAAAUCAAAUGCGAUAGGGGCCAGUAGCACCGACAUGGGCUUCCGUUUCGGUUUGCGGGUUGAGCUGGUGGAAGAGGCGGUUUUGGCCGCAAUGGAGCGAGAGAUCCAUGAGAUUAGAAGCUUGGGUAGGUUUUGUUGCAGGUGGAGGAGAUGAGCGUCCGAUUCAGCACACUCUGCCGUCAAUCCCUCCGCCAGAUCGCAAGCCCUGUCAUGUAAUAAUGUGAAGUGUUGUCGGUGGUUGUCGGUGGCGGCAGUGGUGGUGGUGAAAUUGUGAUGGAGGAACCCUAAAAGGUUCGGUGAUAGAUCCCUGUGAUCGGGCAAAUCCAUAGCCAUCAUCCAAUAAUCAUUCCAGUACUGGUACUAAUAGCACCAACCAAACCCAAUCAUUCAUUCAUACGUCCUUCGCUUUGUUUGAUUUUGGGAAUCUAAUUUUCAAAAGAAGACAUGGGUUACAACUUUCACAAAUUGGAAAGUUGCAAAUAGGUAAUUUCAAUAAUAUGGUAAAUAAAGUAAGUUUCUCAUUAAUUUUAAAAAUAUCACCGACGUUUCUUAAAUUUGAAAAUAAAUAUAAACUAUUUUUUGUACAAAAAUUAUAAAUUUAUAUUUUAAUUUAGUAUUUUAAAAAAAAUAGGGACACAUUAAACAGAUGUAGUAUUUUUUAUAAAGAAUAAUUUUUACACUCAAUUUUUUGAUAUCUACACUCCAAAAUAGGGUGUAGAAAUCAAUACCAGUAAUGAUGUUGAUUUCUACACUCUAUUUUGGGAGUGUGCAAUAUCAAAAAAAUUGAAGUGUAAAAAUAAAUUUCCUUUUUGUAAUACCCAAAACCCUUUAUCUUUAUUUUAUUAUAAUAUAUAUACACACACAAGUAAAAUUUUUAUAAUUUUUACAAUCUUUACUAAUCCAAAAAUUUAUUAUGUCUUGUCCCUAAUCCAUCUAGUUUUUUAAAAAAAUCUACGGUAUUGUCCUGAACCGAUCAAAGUUUAUCUGACCGAUUAACUUUUUUAAUAAACCUACUUGGACCGAUUUUAUCUUUUAACCGGCCCGUUUUUUUUUUUAACUUUUGAAUAAAUCUACUUAGUUUUUUAAUAUAAAGCAAAAUAAAAAGGGAAAUUUAUUCCUACACUCCACUGUUUGAUAUUAACUCAAAAUAGGAGUGUAGAAAUCAAUACCAUAAUGGUGUUGAUUUCUACACUCCUAUUUUAGAGUGAGAUAUCAUUUUUUGGAGUGUAGAAAUUAUUUCUCAAUAAAAAAUUAAAAACAUUCCGUGUUGAAACACGUAUCAAACCAUAGGUUAUUGAUUGACCCUGGCGACACCUCAUGGUGAUGACUUACCAUGAGCCAUAGUUACACAGUGGUGACUCGUGAUUAUGAGUCGCCAUAAUUGUCAUUAUCUCAUACAUAUCUUAGUGAGUCACCCUUUUUGCUGGCAGGAGUGAGAUAAGAAGAGAGAAAUCUAGAUGAGGAGGAAGAAAAAAUCAAAAAGAAAGAAAGAAGAGAGAGAAUUCGGAAGAGAGAGACACACACGACAAACAGAGAGAAAGAGAGGAAAAGACAGAUAAGGAAAAUAAAUGGGAGAGAGAAGGAAAUUUAUGGUAUGAUUGUAGUGAUCAGACAUUGAAGAGAUAAAAACAUAGUAGAUGGGUCCACACAUACAUAAUAGAUGGUCCACACACAAUCUGUGUAUAUAAAUAUUUAUGUUAAAAAAUAUUAUUUUUCUUAUGCAAAAUUACCACCGACAAUCAAUCAGAAUAUGCUACGGAUCAUCGAAAAUUUACCAGCAUUUGUUAUUGAUAGCACCAACACGAAGUCGUUUUGGUACUAAAUGAAAAAUUUCUUCCUGGUAAGAAAUCACUUUAGUUUCUUCCCCGUAAGAAAUCUUCAUUUAGUUGAACGACGUCCUACUAUAAUUUUUUUGCAGCCAACCCGACGUCAAUUUUGGUGCUGUCGGUAACAAAAGCGGUAAAAUGUUUCGGUAUAAAACGUAGCAUUACUGCAAUCAAAUCCCCAGCAAAAAAACAUGCCCUUGGCCUGAGCCUUGUCAUCCUCUGGUAUAUUGCUUUGCUUUGCUUUGCAAGUGGAACCGCAGCGAUCAUGGUUCUGUAACUUCUGUUGGUCUUCUUCUUCUGCUGCUGCUACAGACAGUGUGGAACCCUAAACCCUAAACUUUAAAUAAUACUCACUCUCUUCUGCGACGCGAAACGUAUGAUUUCCCUUUGUUUUUCCUUCUCAUCUCUGCAUUUUCCAUUCUUCAUCUUUGAGUUUUGUUCAAACUCUAUUUCACAAUUUAAAAUAGAACAAAAAAUAAAUAAAUCAGAAUUUCAGAAAGAUGUCUAAAAAUAUUAGGGUAGAUUUAGUUCCCAAAAUUGGACGCCACUGGUAGAACAAGGCAUGACCGGUCUCUAAAAUCAUGGAGGUUUGAUGGAGAGCCAAAUAACUCUUGGGGAUUAAUAAAUGCAGAAUAGUGGGUGGGACAUGGGGUGAAAAAAGGGGAAGAAGCAACCAUUCUUUCCAGGGAAAUUACAUAUAUUAUCUAUGUAGGAGGUGAAGCUGUGGAGAAACAACAGGGUUGAUCUGGUAGUCAUUUAUGUCUGACGAAACGUGAAGGUAGGUUUUUAAAACUCUAUCUCAGUACACUGUCUAUCGACCUCUAGCUAAAUCGGCAGGGAACCAGAAUUUUAGUUUAGGAGUUAUUAAAUUAUUAAAAUAUAUAUAUUAUAUAUUAUAUAUAUAUAUUUUAGGGGCUAAAGGUUUAAAAAAAAUUUAAUUUUUUUGUAAUUUUUUGAAAUUUAGGGGGACUCAGCUCCUAUUGGCCUCCCGGAGUCCGCCACCUGGGCACUAAGUCAAACAGUACAAAGCCAAAGCUUGGGGUCUCGGUCAAAAAGAGGCAAAAAUUACACACAGAAAGAAAAAAAAAUACAAAAAUUAGAAUAGGAUUGUCUUUUUUGUUCGGACGGUUAGUCCUACAAGAAAAAAAAUUGUCUUUUAUUUUUUGAAAAUCUUAACCUCUUCACUUUUUAGUCUUGACUCCCUUUUGACCUCUUUCUUAUAUAUAAUUCACUUUUAACUUUUGAGAACCAUAACUUAGCUCUUUCUCCCUUAUUUCAUCCAAAAUUCAAGACGGCAAUCAGGUUAGCAAGAAGAUUUUUUUUUACAUGAGUAUUCUCUGAUUAAUUUUUAUUAGCCUUGUGAUUUUGUAAUUUUUAUUUUUCAGAAGUGAAUGGAGAUUUUGUCAUUAUCCAUAUUUUGUAAUCAACUAAUCUGGUAUUAUAUUCUUUCGUUUCAUGAAAUAUUUUGUUCCUCUUGGUAUACUCGACUAUUCUACUAUAGAGAAUAUAGUUUUCCAAGUAUAUUUAAUUUUUUUUUUUAUGUAUAAACUGGAUGUGCUAUUUAUAAAGUACGAAGAUCAAAGUUUUUUUUUUAUAUUUUGUACUUUUUAUUUUUUGUAAUCUUGAUUUUAGUAUUAUAUAAACACUGACUAUAGUCUACUGUACUAGAAAAUUAAUAUGCGCUUGAUGGUUGUAAUGUAUUUAUUAAUAAAGCCUUAUUACGGAAUUCGCUUGGGAACCAUAAACCCAAGAAUCGGCCUUGACCAAAUACAUUCUCUCUAACGGUGUUUGUGGACUGGCCAUCUCUGUACCUAUGUGACAUUGGUUCUAUAAAAUGACUAAAGUACCUGUGUUAGGAGUCGUCAAGGUCUGAGAAUGUUGUACGUUUAAAUAGGACGUUCACUUGGUAAGCAUAUUUAUGUAGCCGGAUUAAGCAUAAGACCAAUGUAUAAUAACCAACUCCUACAUUUGUGGGUGAAAUGGUAUAUGUCCUUUAAAUUAAUGUUUUGAAACCGGAAUCGGUGAUCUCGAACCGAAAAAUGGGCGGAUCAUGUUACCGGUUCAAACCGUUUUUGACAGUGAUAACAUAAUUAUGUCAUUAAUUUAUUUUUAAUAUAAUAAAAUAUUUUUUAUUUUCUAGGACUAAUUUUUAUAUUAUUAACAAUCUAAAAUUUUAAAAUUAAAAAAUAAAUUUUUCUAAAAACGUGAACGGGAGUCAAUGACGGUUUCAAUUACCGAUUGUUUACGGAUGCAACCGCCGGGGUGACUGGAUUGUGCCGGUUUUUUAUCAAAACGGAUUGUGAGGGUGAGUGACUGGACUGUUUCUCCCACCAGUCGACAGUUUGACCGGUCGAAUCAAUCCGGAUUUUAAAACAUUGUUUUUAAACAUCAUUUUUAGCCUAGCAAAUAGAAAAAAUACACUAAGAAAUAUGAAUAUUUUACUCGAGAUGAGAAUCAAAUAAAUACAGCUAUUAGGCGUAUAUCUGCACCCGAUACCCGUACUCGAGUCUUUGUAAUCUCUACAUGGCAGAACUAACCAAUUGUCCAGGUGCAUAAGGAUUCCAUAAGUGGAAACAAGUGUUCCAUAUGCACUAAUAACAAUCUCUGACACCCCAUAUUCUAAUAGAGAGGAAAACGGCCCUUGUAAAGAUUCAACAUACGGGACUACUUGCUGAAUAACCUAGGGAAACAUACACUCACACCAUCGCCAAACUAAACACCAGGACAAAAACUUAGACCAGAAGACUCAAACCGUACGCAAUCCAAAGAUAAAAAACGAAGGGAUAAGAUACUACUGAAAAGGGAAGAAAGCACUGCAGAUGGAAAAUGCGUGUUGAGAUGUGGACAGACAUCCUGGGAGAUGAAUUUACCAUUCUGGACAUCGGGUACUGGUGAAUGGACUGUUACUGACCCUCAUGUGCCUUGCAUGACAAGCUAGGCUUUUUUUAUAUCUUCUGUUUGAAAGUUUGGUUGCUGUUUGUUCUAUACACGACCAGAGUACUGCAUUCUCCAAUGGGAAGGGUUGAAGAAUAAACGAGGGGGACCGACAAAACCUACAUCCUGGGAGGUCUCGUCUCAGUGGACCAAUGGCAAAAAUGCUGAUUCCAUUCUCCCGAAGGUGGGCUGUGCUUUUCUUUUGCGUCUCAAGGCAGCAGUUUCAAGCCUGUCUAGCUCUCCGGUGUUGAAAGAUGUUCAAACUUGUCUGAACCAUGUGUGGCAGAAUACAGGAAGCCGCGGUCUUCCUUUCAGCCACUCUGCAACCAUUUCUCCGAGUAUGGAAAAUUGGCAUAUAAACUCGACAAAAUUUGGAUGCAAUGUUAACAAAUGAAUGCUAACAAAUGAAGUGGGUCGUAAGGCAUCGAUCGCACAAGGAUCGGCACUAGUGAGAGUGGCUGCUGCUGCAAUUUCACAAGUCCCUGCUCUAAAGAUAAUGAGAGAUGCGUCUUUGGGUGUUGUUGCUUUCCACCAUGCUCCUAUUUUUGGUCUUAUAUGUGGGCUUCUUGGGUUUGACAGUGAAGCUUCUCAGAGGACGUACGUGUUUAUUACAAUGAGAGAUGUAAUCUCUGCGGCAACUAGACUAAAUUUGGUUGGCCCAGUAGGCACAGCUGUAUUGCAGCAUCAGAUGGCAGCUGUUGCGCGAAGAUGUGUCAACAGAUGGAUGAACCGGAAGGUUUGAGGGGAAGAGUUGUCAUCGGCUCCUUUAUUGAUACCGUUUGCCCCUCCCAGGGUUGUAAUGGCACACCUGUUUUAUCGGUGUUUGUUCCUAAACACGUGAUUUGACAAGGAUUAACAAACUUUUUGUUUCUUGAUUGAUCAAUCAAAUCCUACAGGUUAUAGACAAGGGUUCACGAUAGUAGUACAGUUGUGCAUAAGAGACAACAUGAAACCCUUACAGGUUAGAGAUCGACAAGAGUAUAUCCACUAGCCCACAAAAGAAAUCUUCUUUGCUGGACGGAAUGUAGGUAGGUAGAUUAUUUUGUUUUUACUUAUAUUGAGGCCCAUGGGCCCCAGCUUUUUUUCGACUUUUGGCUUAAAAUAAGCAAAAAAACCAAAUCAGAGUUGGCUUGAGCUUUCGUUUCUGGCUUUUUUGCUUAGUUUAUAGGUAAAAUAUAACCCCAAAAAGAAAAAAAAUCAAAAUUCUUACCUUUUGGUAGUAAGCUUAAAAAAAAGCUUGGCUUUUAAGCACUACCAAACGGAGCCUUGAUUUUAGAAAUGGUUUACACUCGCAUUAGUUAUCAGGGGGGGAGGAAACCACAUUAGAAAGAGGAACUAACAAAGAACGCUAUGUUAUGACACAGUCCAAGUCUGAGCAAACUCAUGAAAUCGGGUUAAAGCUGGAUGCCAUCUUACUCACAAUGCAAAUCACAAGUAUAAAUGCAACAUUCCACACACCUAGAAAAUCACUUUCAAGUAUGAGAAACCAAAAAAUAUGAUACCAUACAAUCAAAACUCACAAGUACAGUCUGAAGCAGGUUACGACGGUUGUGCUACCCAAAAAAAGGUAUUGCCAGAGCAAACAUAAAAAAAAAAGGUCAUAACAGUUCUACGGAAAGUCGCACAAAAGCCAGAUAAUACUUUACAACCCAAGGUUCUAAUGUAUAAUCUUACUCGAGGCCUUAACAGGGAAAACAAAACAUUUACAUAGUGCACACAUUCUCUGCAACUUGGGCAUCUGAGGUCACAGAGAACAGCACCAGCAGAUGUCACAUCACCAUGGACUUGAGACGUUUCUGAGGGGCGUCAUUCAAAACUUCAUAAACGUCCAUCUGAGAGUGGCGGGCCAAGAUGAGCAAACAUAUGGGGCAACUGCAAGAGAGAGGAGAGAAGCUCAGAUUCUGAUUCGAAAUUAAAACUGUGGGAAGAAACACCAAAUAACUAUAACCUUAAAUUGCUGGAAAUCACAGAAAGUAGUGCAUUUUAGUAAUUCAGUAACAAGCUUGACCAAAUCACCAGCUACCAACGUUAGCAUGUGACCGAAUUACCGUCUAGAACCAGCAUUUGCUCACGCGCACUCACACAGGCGCCAGCAUCAUGAUUUUAGUUGGAAUUUAGAAGGCUAAUUUACUAAAUGACCACACAUCUUGAGUUUUGUUUAACAUGCUAUUUUUCAUACGCAGGGAAACCCUAAUUACCACAGAAAUCCGCAGUAGUACUUAUGGUUACCUGUCAUAAUUUAAAAAGAAAAGACAGUUAUUCAGAGGAUCUAUAGUGUUUUCCGCUUCAAGAAUGAUUAAAGUGAGGAAUGAUCUUUGACAAUGCUUGUCCAAAAUCUACUCACAACAUAAGACAGGGAAUGUACUAGCUCCGGGAGUCAUUCCAGCUGAAAACCAAACAUCCAUCUAAAGAACAUGGUAAUGUGUCGGCCUUGGUGUCCCCUAUCAGGAAAACAUGGAUUAAAACAAUCAAAGUUCAAUAUAUUCCCAUUGUGAAAGAAAGAUAUCAAGAUAGAUUUCACAAUGUACAUGGGGACGGAAGUGGAACACAAGGACUAACACUUGUGUUACCACAUCAGACAAGAACCAGACACUAGCAUUAUCGAACAAACAAUAACAAACAUUCAAGUAUACUAAAAUGCAAGAACCAAACACUUGCAUACACACAAAUUAAAUGACAUUAGAAGAUAGAUUAUUCAUCGCCAAUCUACUUUUUGAAUGAAAUACCACAAGUCUAUGGUAAGACUUACAAUCAUGCCAGCAAUUGUGCACAAUGAAAAAUGUUGUUCCGUGAGACAAACUUUUGUCGAUCAACCGUUCCUGCAUAAUGUACAAAACUUUAAAUACUCUCUUUAUUCAACGCGACCAAUAAGGUAAACAUACAGGACUUCCAUAAGAUUGCUAACAUGGUGGAACAUUGUCAGUGAUCCCGGCGGGAAAAAUUCUGUUAUGGGAUUUUUCUGUCAGCAACAAUUCAACAAACUUGGGGCACAAUUCUCGUAAAGGGAACUUCAAGCCUGCAUAAUUACAGGAAACACUUUACCACUCUUUCGCUCACCAAAGCAGGGAGGAUAAAGAUCACCCAAGGCAUAUUGGUUAGAAAAAAAAAACCUAAAAUUUGAAUCAAGUUCAAAUGCUUAGAACUUGCGUUGAACUGUGAUUCACUGACUCCAUCCCUGGAAAAAUUCAAAGGCAUUAUGACCAACAAGAAGUGACAAAUUGCCAGUGUACAUGGUGACGAGACAAGCACAAAUAAAUUUAGAACUAAUCAAAAGAAAAUAAAAACACAUGCAUGUCAGGUGAGUUGAGUUAUGUUGUAGAGAGCAUUGUCAAUUAAUAGAUACAGCGCAAUAAUGCAAUUUUUAAACUGUGAUGUAACGAAAAAACAUAUGUGAUCUGUGUCCUUUGACAAAUGAAUAAUGCAUUUUAAAAGUUGCCACAUUAUCAAUUCUAGUGCAGGAUACCUGGCCAGGGUGAUUUUCAAUAUUUUUUUUGCCUACUGCUUUUAUUUUUAGGGUACAAUGGGUGUUUUACAACGACACGAGUAUUUCAUGCAUGGAAAAAAGGUGGGGUGUAUGCAUUCGUAUAAGUGAACUCAACUCCGGCACAUGUCCAUCCAGUAAUGUCGACACAAAAAACCAUAAAGUGUUGAUUGUACAAAGGUAGGACUUCAAAAGUUAUAGUUGUCUAUAAAUUGCAUGUGAUACUAUGAAUGGAAGUUCCAUGUCAUCAUUAAAUGUACGUCAAUGUAGACUACAACGAAGCUAAUCUGAAGCUAGGCAGUAGGAGUUAAGAUAUAAAAUUCCUUAAGGGAGGGAUAUAAUAAUCAAAACUCUAAGGUCACAUUAAUGCGCCUACAGAUUUCUAAUUUUUACAAAGAACAAAUUUCACAUUCAUGGCAAGUACACUGUAUGCAACUUAAAUAAAAAAAAGAAGCCAGAGACAGACAAUUAAACCUGGUAGGUUACAGUGAAGAUACUUUUCACUGGCCAAACGGAGAGAGAAGAAAGAAAAAACAAAUACCUGAAAAUAAUGAUUUGACAGGCUUCUUUUUCCUGAACUGUAUAGAAAUCCAGCAAAACCAGCUCCCUGAAAUGGAAGGAAAAAAGUCUCACUUUUGAUCUCCAAGUUUAAUUCAUAAAUCCUACAACUGAACUGAACUGAAUCACAAGCAUAAUCUAAGUGGCAUCAGUAUUAAAAAUCCAUAAUCACCAGAAUUGUAACAAGAGAAACAAAAGAAAUCAGUGGAUGCAAAGCACGCAACAAUGUACAAAAGUUGUAUUAAACGUAUAUUCAACCUAUUAUGCCUUCAUUCUUCUGGGUCAGA
rnacentral:lncRNA from 1 species